GGAACAGAAAAGAAAGAAUGUAUGUAAUCCUCAAAAAGUCACUCAGCUAGGGAUGGACCCCUAAUUGUAGUCCAGAUUUUGUGACUUCAAAACCCAGACGUUUCUCAAACUUAUCACACAGCGUGCAAAUAUCCUGAUAUUUUGUAACAAGGAAAGGAAAUCAAGCCUUAUAUGCUUGAACUAAUUGUCUCCUUAUUUUCUUCUUCAUGUUUCCAAUAUAAAUCACUAUAAAAGCUUGAAACAUUGACAGGAUCCUAUUUCCUAUCCAUUCAUCUUAAUUUUGAAGGAUCUGGAGGAAAAAGACGUUCCAAGGAGCUGCUUGGACAAGGAGUUAUUUAUUAAUAGAAAAAUGGACUCAGACAAAAGCGCUGGGUUCGGCAGGUCUUGGUUUGAGGGUGCGGGUGUGCGAGGCACCACCGUGAGGCCGCUCUACGAGGAGGAGGCGGCAAGCCCGGGAUUACGCGUAAGCAAAGUGCGGGACUAAGUCGGCUAACCCCUGUGCGUGUGCGUGUGCGUGUGCGCGCGUGCGAGAGGUGUUGCUGCACCCGAGUGCGGCUUCGAGGCGCACCGGCCGAGCCACCGGAGCGGCGGUCCCAGGGG
rnacentral:lncRNA from 12 species